rnacentral:rRNA from 1 species
GUGGGGAAUCUUAGACAAUGGGCGCAAGCCUGAUCUAGCCAUGCCGCGUGAGCGAUGAAGGCCUUAGGGUUGUAAAGCUCUUUCAGUGGGGAAGAUAAUGACUGUACCCACAGAAGAAGCCCCGGCUAACUCCGUGCCAGCAGCCGCGGUAAUACGGAGGGGGCUAGCGUUGUUCGGAAUUACUGGGCGUAAAGCGCACGUAGGCGGAUUGGAAAGUUGGGGGUGAAAUCCCGGGGCUCAACCCCGGAACUGCCUUCAAAACUCCCAGUCUUGAGUUCGAGAGAGGUGAGUGGAAUUCCGAGUGUAGAGGUGAAAUUCGUAGAUAUUCGGAGGAACACCAGAGGCGAAGGCGGCUCACUGGCUCGAUACUGACGCUGAGGUGCGAAAGCGUGGGGAGCAAACAGGAUUAGAAACCCGGGUAGUCC